GCGCUCGUAGCUCAGCUGGAUAGAGUAUCGGCCUCCGAAGCCGAAGGUCGUGGGUUCGACUCCCGCCGAGCGCG
rnacentral:tRNA from 1 species